GCGACAUCUAUAAAAUGGUUAUGCCUCGUUGAGUACGGAGCACAGCGAAAUAGCGUUAUGACUCAGCGUUCAGUCUACACCAAGAUGGCGUACCCAGCAACGGGAGUUUGCUGCUAGGGUUGAAUUUGUGGCUAUUUUCUGUUAAAGCGAUUGCUAGUAAAUUAUUGGCUCUACAGAUUAGUGCAGAAUGAAUUAUGAGAUCUGCAUACUUCGUGUCGAUUGCACUGGGCUGAAAAUAGUAAGGAAAUACCAGGACACAAUAUGCAGACAGAAGAAAAUGGCAAGUUUCAAAAAGAUGGAUGGAUAUAGAAAACAACAGAAGUAUUUACUCUCAACUGAAGAACUGCACAAGAUUUGUCGCUGUCAAGGAGAUUAGUAUCGUCAGCGAACAAUUUGGAAAAUAAUGAAGAGCAAUAAGUUAUGUCGUUAAUAUAUACGAGAAAAAGGAGAGGGCCCAAACAGCUACCUUGAGGAACUCCAUGCGUCACCGAUUUGAAAAGAGGAAUAACCCGGGCGGUUUUGAGAGAUGAAGGAAAGAUUCCAAGUAACAGCGAGGAAUUGAAGAAUCUUGAGAGACAAGGGGCAAUUAUAUCCGCAACUAAUUUGAUGAAGCGCGCUGGGAUGUUGUCUGGUCCUACAGCCUUCCUGUCGUUAAGAUUUUGUAUUUCGAUUAAAAUUUCAUUCGCGGUGGAUGAGCUCAAAAAGAUGGAUUGGCUCACACGAUUGCGGAGAAAAGGUUCGAAGUUAGC